CAAACCCUAGAUGUGGGAAGCUCAAGCAACACGAAGCAGAAUAAAUAUUGAGAAAUCCAGAAUCAUGUUCGGGCUGUUGAAAAUCUAAAGACAGUGGAUGAAAUCCUGAAACCAACCAUGAAGUUUCCAGAAUUUAUGAAGAUAAAUUUCAGGGUGCUAAAAUUAAAACUACCAUGAACAUUUUUGCAGAAGCCUGUAUAGACAUGGAUGGAUCAUAUGGUUGGAAAACACAGGCCACCAUCUGGGUAUACAGAUGUAUGAGGAAGAGUGAGAUUCAGGAGACUAAUUGAACUGCAAAUGAAUGGACUGUCAAAGGUAUAUAUUCUGUUGGCAAGAGCAUUAAGGAAACAUGGAAAAUAAGAUAACAUAUCAUUCCAGAAGAAUGCCAUCUAUCUUACCCCCAGAU